UACGGGGGGGGCAAGCGUUGUUCGGAAUUACUGGGCGUAAAGGGCUCGUAGGUGGCCAACUAAGUCAGACGUGAAAUCCCUCGGCUUAACCGGGGAACUGCGUCUGAUACUGGAUGGCUUGAGUUCGGGAGAGGGAUGCGGAAUUCCAGGUGUAGCGGUGAAAUGCGUAGAUAUCUGGAGGAACACCGGUGGCGAAGGCGGAUCUCUGGGCCUUACCUGACGCUGAGGCACGAAAGUGUGGGGAUCAAACAGG
rnacentral:rRNA from 1 species